CGGAUGCUGACGAGUGGCGAACGGGUGAGUAAUACAUCGGAACGUGCCUAGUAGUGGGGGAUAACUACUCGAAAGAGUGGCUAAUACCGCAUGAGAUCUACGGAUGAAAGCAGGGGAUCGCAAGACCUUGUGCUACUAGAGCGGCCGAUGGCAGAUUAGGUAGUUGGUGGGAUAAAAGCUUACCAAGCCGACGAUCUGUAGCUGGUCUGAGAGGACGAUCAGCCACACUGGGACUGAGACACGGCCCAGACUCCUACGGGAGGCAGCAGUGGGGAAUUUUGGACAAUGGGCGCAAGCCUGAUCCAGCAAUGCCGCGUGCAGGAUGAAGGCCUUCGGGUUGUAAACUGCUUUUGUACGGAACGAAAAGCCCUGGGUUAAUACCCUGGGGUCAUGACGGUACCGUAAGAAUAAGCACCGGCUAACUACGUGCCAGCAGCCGCGGUAAUACGUAGGGUGCAAGCGUUAAUCGGAAUUACUGGGCGUAAAGCGUGCGCAGGCG
rnacentral:rRNA from 1 species